UACGGGAGGCAGCAGUGGGGAAUCUUCCGCAAUGGACGAAAGUCUGACGGAGCAACGCCGCGUGAGUGAUGACGGCCUUCGGGUUGUAAAGCUCUGUUAAUCGGGACGAAAGGCCUCCUUGCGAAUAGUUAGAAGGAUUGACGGUACCGGAAUAGAAAGCCACGGCUAACUACGUGCCAGCAGCCGCGGUAAU
rnacentral:rRNA from 1 species